rnacentral:rRNA from 1 species
UACACAUGCAGUCGAACGGCAGCACAGGAGAGCUUGCUCUCUGGGUGGCGAAGUGGCGGACGGGUGAGGAAUACAUCGGAAUCUACUUUUUCGUGGGGGAUAACGUAGGGAAACUUACGCUAAUACCGCAUACGACCUACGGGUGAAAGCAGGGGAUCUUCGGACCUUGCGCGAUUGAAUGAGCCGAUGUCGGAUUAGCUAGUUGGCGGGGUAAAGGCCCACCAAGGCGACGAUCCGUAGCUGGUCUGAGAGGAUGAUCAGCCACACUGGAACUGAGACACGGUCCAGACUCCUACGGGAGGCAGCAGUGGGGAAUAUUGGACAAUGGGCGCAAGCCUGAUCCAGCCAUACCGCGUGGGUGAAGAAGGCCUUCGGGUUGUAAAGCCCUUUUGUUGGGAAAGAAAUCCAGCUGGCUAAUACCCGGUUGGGAUGACGGUACCCAAAGAAUAAGCACCGGCUAACUUCGUGCCAGCAGAGCGCGGUAAUACGAAGGGUGCAAGCGUUACUCGGAAUUACUGGGCGUAAAGCGUGCGUAGGUGGUCGUUUAAGUCCGUUGUGAAAGCCCUGGGCUCAACCUGGGAACUGCAGUGGAUACUGGGCGACUAGAGUGUGGUAGAGGGUAGCGGAAUUCCUGGUGUAGCAGUGAAAUGCGUAGAGAUCAGAGGACAUCAUGGCGAAGCAGCUACCUGGACCACACUGACACUGAGCACGAAGCGUGGGGAGCAAAGGAUAGAUACCCUGGUAGUCCACGC